CCUACGGGGCGCACCAGUGGGGAAUUUUCCGCAAUGGGCGAAAGCCUGACGGAGCAAUGCCGCGUGGAGGUAGAAGGCCCACGGGUCGUGAACUUCUUUUCCCGGAGAAGAAGCAAUGACGGUAUCUGGGGAACAAGCAUCGGCUAACUCUGUGCCAGCAGCCGCGGUAAUACGAAGGGGGCUAGCGUUGCUCGGAAUGACUGGGCGUAAAGGGCGCGUAGGCGGUUUAUGCAGUCAGAUGUGAAAUCCCCGGGCUUAACCUGGGAACUGCAUUUGAGACGCAUAGACUAGAGGUCGAGAGAGGGUUGUGGAAUUCCCAGUGUAGAGGUGAAAUUCGUAGAUAUUGGGAAGAACACCGGUGGCGAAGGCGGCAACCUGGCUCGAUUCUGACGCUGAGGCGCGAAAGCGUGGGGAGCAAACAGGAUUAGAUACCCGCGUAGUC
rnacentral:rRNA from 1 species